rnacentral:rRNA from 1 species
GACGAACGCUGGCGGCGUGCCUAAUACAUGCAAGUCGAGCGCAGGAAGUCAUCCGAACCCUUCGGGGGGACGUUGACGGAAUGAGCGGCGGACGGGUGAGUAACACGUAAAGAACCUGCCCUCAGGUCUGGGAUAACCACGAGAAAUCGGGGCUAAUACCGGAUGGGUCAUCGGACCGCAUGGUCCGAGGAUGAAAGGCGCUCCGGCGUCGCCUGGGGAUGGCUUUGCGGUGCAUUAGCUAGUUGGUGGGGUAAUGGCCCACCAAGGCGACGAUGCACAGCCGACCUGAGAGGGUGAUCGGCCACACUGGGACUGAGACACGGCCCAGACUCCUACGGGAGGCAGCAGUAGGGAAUCUCCCACAAUGGACGAAAGUCUGAUGGAGCAACGCCGCGUGAACGAUGAAGGCCCUCGGGUCGUAAAGUUCUGUUGUAAGGGAAGAACAAGUGCCGCAGGCAAUGGCGGCACCUUGACGGUACCUUGCGAGAAAGCCACGGCUAACUACGUG